rnacentral:rRNA from 1 species
GACGAACGCUGGCGGCGUGCUUAACACAUGCAUGUCGAACGGUAAGGCCCUUCGGGGUACACGAGUGGCGAACGGGUGAGUAACACGUGGGUGAUCUGCCCUGCACUUCGGGAUAAGCCUGGGAAACUGGGUCUAAUACCGGAUAGGACCACUGCCUGCAUGGGUGGUGGCAAGCUUUUGCGGUGUGGGAUGGGCCCGCGGCCUAUCAGCUUGUUGGUGGGGUGAUGGCCUACCAAGGCGACGACGGGUAGCCGGCCUGAGAGGGUGACCGGCCACACUGGGACUGAGAUACGGCCCAGACUCCUACGGGAGGCAGCAGUGGGGAAUAUUGCACAAUGGGCGCAAGCCUGAUGCAGCGACGCCGCGUGAGGGAUGAUGGCCUUCGGGUUGUAAACCUCUUUCAGCACCGACGAAGCGCAAGUGACGGUAGGUGCAGAAGAAGGACCGGCCAACUACGUGCCAGCAGCCGCAGUAA